GAUGAAGAACGCAGCGAAAUGCGAUACGUAAUGUGAAUUGCAGAAUUCAGUGAAUCAUCGAGUCUUUGAACGCACAUUGCGCCCCCUGGUAUUCCGGGGGGCAUGCCUGUCCGAGCGUCAUUGCUGCCCUCAAGCACGGCUUGUGUGUUGGGCCUCCGUCCUCCUCCCGGGGGACGGGCCCGAAAGGCAGCGGCGGCACCGCGUCCGGUCCUCGAGCGUAUGGGGCUUUGUCACCCGCUCUGUAGGCCCGGCCGGCGCCAGCCGACAACCAAUCAUCCUUUUUUCAGGUUGACCUCGGAUCAGGUAGGGAUACCCGCUGAACUUAAGCAUAUCAAUAAGCGGAGGA
rnacentral:misc_RNA from 1 species